GUGAGGAAUUUUCCGCAAUGGGCGAAAGCCUGACGGAGCAAUGCCGCGUGAAGGAUGAAGGCCUAUGGGUUGUAAACUUCUUUUCUCAGAAAAGAAUUAUGACGGUAUCUGAGGAAUAAGCAUCGGCUAACUCUGUGCCAGCAGCCGCGGUAAGACAGAGGAUGCAAGCGUUAUCCGGAAUGAUUGGGCGUAAAGCGUCUGUAGGUUGUUUAAAAAGUAUUCUGUCAAAGAUUAGGGCUUAACCCUAGAUAGGCAGAAUAAACUUUUAAGCUAGAGUUUGGUAGAGGCAGAGGGAAUUCCCGGUGGAGCGGUGAAAUGCGUAGAUAUCGGGAGGAACACCAAAGGCGAAGGCACUCUGCUGGGCCAAUACUAACACUGAGAGACGAAAGCGAGGGGAGUAAAUGGGAUUAGAUACCCGGGUAGUCC
rnacentral:rRNA from 1 species